rnacentral:rRNA from 1 species
UUCAAUUUCUUUAUUAAUUUUUUAUAAAUAAUUUAUAUUAAAUAUAAAAAUAUAUUUUUAAAUAAAAAAGACGACAAGACCCUAUUAAAUUUAACUUAUAGUUUAGCUGGGGAAGCUUUUUAAAUAAAAUUUUUAUAUAAUUUUUAAAAAUAUAUUUAAUAAAAUUAAAAAUAAAACAAAUUACUAUAGGGAUAACAGCGUUAUAUUUUUUAAAAGUUCUUAUUUAAAAAAAUGAUUGCGACCUCGAUGUUGAAUUAUAUUUUCUAUAUUAAUGCAAUAAUUAUAAAAAAUUAUUUAAUAAAAAUUUAAUUUCACUUGAAAGAAUAAAUUUUAUAUUAUCAUAUUCAACUCCAGCAUUAUCUUUAAUUUUAAUAAUAAUAAUUACUUCUAUAUUACCUAUAUAUAUCUAUUCUACAUUUGAUAAUAAAAAUAAUAUUUAAUAUUUUGAAU